GAGAAACAACACAUCCUGAACUCUGGGAUUGGCAGGUAAAAAGCCUUUCCAUCUCCUCUGACCUGUUGUUCGUUAAUUUACAGAGGGAGCACCCAGGAAAGACAGAAAGGAGUUCCAUAUACAGGAGGAGAAAAAGAAGGGACCAUCCACUUUCUUUCUGUCUUGUAGUCUUUAAGUCCACACAUGUAACUGCUUAGGGUCACCUUGCAUCUGUCCAGAGCACAAAGUUGGAGUGAGGGAGAAGCAGGGAAGACACAAAGCUCUCUCUCCCUCCCUCCUUCCUUCCCUCCUUUGCAGUCCAUAGGUAGAGCAGCAUUUGUCUUCUCUGCUGGGUGCAGAGAACAGUGUCCUUUGGUUCCACAGAAGAGUAACACCAUGGAAAGAGGAAACAGUUUGUGUAGGUUGCAAGUGCAAUAGGGUGUUCGUUUGAGUUUGUCUAAAAGAGAACAAAGCUGCCUGUUUUCCUUCCUCCACCACAUGAGCAGAAACUAAGCUCUACUGAGGUCAUGUACUUGUACAGGUACUAGACAUUGAAGGUUUGGAUGCAGAGUCUUACUGGAAGUAGAAAGUGACUCAUCUGAGAGCAGUCAGUAUACACUGCUAAUUUAGUUUGUUGUCUGGGAUCAAAUAUUGUUUGCUUUGUUCAUGCAAUAUAUCUGCUAGACUAGUAUGCUAAAAGACCCUGCUAGACUAAUAUGAUGGGUUGAUGAAGGGGAAAGAAUGGAAUGGUGAAUAAGAGAAAUAGGAACAGAAGCAAGAAGGCCACUAACUUCAUUGUAAUGUUAUUUUAUCAAGGGAAUAACUAGUAGACAGUAUGCACUUUUAUUUUCUUUAAAAAACCUCAAAACAGCAAAACAAACAACAAAAAGUUCAGACUGUGGGCCUGAAAAACAGUAUGCAGUUUUCUGGUAUCUAUACCAUAGUGACAAUGCAAGGUACACUCUUGGCCCUGAUUCCUUCAUCUCACCAUUCAUAACUGGAGUUUAAUGGCUGAAAUUAGUCAGAGGACACUCCAAAGACAGAGGUGUCACACUGGGUUGGAACACAUUUGGGUAUUACAUUUAAAACUGUGAUACUUUUGUAAUGCAUCUUGGCCUAAAUUCCGCAUUAUGUUUCCUGUGACCAAAUACCUCUACAUUUCAACUUUUAUUUAUCUACAUCUAUCAAGGCUAGAGUUCCAUCAGAUAUGUUACUUUUCAUAUAUUUUUCCUGUGAAUGAAACCAUCAUUUUUAUACUGAAGUACAUUCAAUUCAGGCAUGUUCUGUUUUCACUCAAGGAACUGGUUCAUGAUCUCUUAGAAAAAUAAUUAAAUAUUCAAGAAUUUUUGACUGCAAAGCUAGUUUUAAAGCAGCCUUUAAUUAACUGAUCACAAUAACAUAUUGCUACCUUUUAACUUGAAAUAACAACACUGCACUGUUCUUUCCUAUGUUGCUAUAUUCAGCUGAAAACGCCCUGACUGUUCAUGUUUCUCUGGGAAAUUCAAGCAGUCUGCAGCAGCAAAAGUGUUCUGCAUACCUGGAACUGAUGUCCUUGAUACAUUAAUCCAUCAUUGAAGCUACCUGAUUGUGUCAGAAGGAUUAUGCUGUACAGUCCAAUACUUAACAGACUAAAACUAACAGGCUAAAGAGUAACAAAAUUAUCUUAGUUAAGGCUUUAAGAAAAGGAAAUUGCUGAUAUACCUUAUCAAAAAGUAGUUAAAUGAAAGGGAGGUGCACUAGAGACAUCUGAUGCGAACUAACAUCUUUGGUGCUAUUAUUAUUUAUUAGUUGGAAUACACCCAGCAGAUUACCCAUGAUAAAGGCACACCAAAACUCCUAGUGCCUUAAAAACGGAGAGUUUGGGAUGUCUAAAGGCAGAGUUUAAAUAGAAAGCACUAGCAUGAGUUUGUUCUCUGUUCAUAUGGAAACUUUGUUCUGCCCACUUCUAUGCUGAUUUUAUUGCUCUGGAGAGUACAGUAAAAAAUACUUCAGUGACUUGAACUCGAUGUAGCUUUCAAAUAUAUCUUAGGUUCCUGACUGCUACAAAACCAAUAAGUUUCUUUAACUACUGCAACAGUAUAAUUAUGAGUAAUUUCUUCUUGGAGUGAAGGUAUUUCUCUUUUGCAACUUCCCACGCUUUAUAAGUAAAAAAUGUAAUGAUCAGGGACUACUUGAAGAGAUGUAAACAUUGAACAAAUGACCACAAAUAAAGGUGUGUCCAGGUUUCUAGCUGAUGUGUUUUUGGAGGUACUGCAGGGAUUUAAGGAACUUAUCUUUAUUUAUUUAGCUGCUAUUAUUUGGCUGUUAAAAUUCAAGUUAAGCAAUUAAGUAAUUGUUCUGUUAAGUAAUUACAUAGCUAAAUCAGUAGUUAAGUACCCUGUUGCAUGAGAAGAUAAAAAAAUCCAAGCUAAUUGUACAGAAUCAUCAAGAGUUGAAGUAAUUUAAGAGCAAGUAUCUCACUGAUUCUUCCUUCACAUGUUUCCAGCUGAUGGUUUUAGCCUUUUUGUAAAUUGCAUCCCUACUGCUGCACUUAACUUCUACUGCCAUGAAGAAAUGGAAGUAGGCUUGCUGAUUACAAGAGAAGAGAUUUUCUAUUAAGAAAACAGCUCAUCAGGAAAUCCAGCAGCUAUAACUCUUAACUUCAUGACACAUGGAGUAUUUAUUAAGGCCUCAUCUCUCAGAGUCCUGCAAACAGCAUCUCCAUUUUUCACUCAAAAUCGUGUUUAUACUAAGAGCUAUGGAGAGAAGUGCGAAGAACAAUGCCUUACAACAUUAAAAUCCCAAAGCACAGCAAAAACUGCAUUUUUAUUUUGUAUUUGAAGUAUCCUUGCUUCCCUCAAACAGUCUUGAUAUUUCUAGAAGAGUAGCAUUGACAGUGUGGUUGUGGAGUGUGUGGACACAGGAACAGAGAUGUAGUCAAAACCCCUUGUGCCUACAGAUGGGUAUCUUGGCCCAUUUACUGUCUUAUUUCUGACACCAAUACUGUAACGGCAAUCCAGGGAGACUGAAAGAAUCACUGCCCAUUCUCCUGUGUUUGUUCUUUACUGCUGCUCUUGCAGUGGUAUUUUCACCUUUUCUAUGUGAAGGAAUUACUUUUAGCUCUUUAAGAUAUUUAAGAGUUCAGAAGGAAAUGCUCUUUAAAAUACUUCAGAUGAAUAGGGUCCUACCUUUCUUCCUUGUACAAACCUGGACUAAGUUCUGUGAGUUCUUUUGUACAAAGGUUUAUGAUAAGGUCAGAUUAUCUAUGUUGAGAGCUGUGAACUUUUCCAUGAAAGAAAAGAAACUUCUUGGUUCAUUUGAGAUUGUAUCUUUCUGCCAUGCUUUUCAUGUGGGGGAGAAUGGGUUUAAUUUUAUACUGUUUUUCAAUUGUACUGCUUUCUUAAUAGUGUGCAGCAUUCAGCCUAAUUGGACAAAAGUUAAUAUAGGUUCAACUGUAAACCAUAAAAGAAAAAGAAGAUUGGUGGAAAUCACAGUUUAAGACAUCUGGAGCACCUCAGGCUAUUAAGGUCUAGUCAGUUAAGAUGUUUAGCUCUGUCCUGAUAAUAUUAUGUUGUGCUAUUCCCCAGCUUGUGUAGAAGCAGAAUUGAACCCAAAUGAUCUACUGCUUAAGAGUAUAAUCAUCUCUUUGUUAAUGGGAAGUCUUGGCCAAGCUUUUGGAGUUUGUGUAAGAUCAUUAUACAAGGUUAUUAAAUUACAUCCCACAUGGCACCAUGCAGGUAGAUCAUCCUUACUGAAAUAUGAGUGCUAAACUUAAGUAAAUCAUAGAGGGAUGUGCUCAGUAAAGCAAGUACUUAAAAGGUUUUAGCAAAUCUGCAGUGUUUCACUCUCUUCCCUUUCCCAUAUAUUUAAUAUUUUAGAAUGGAAUAGAUAAAAAAACUGGCAACAUCUUCUCUUCUAAAGGGACAGCCAGGUUAACAGUCUAUUUAUAAAGCCACGAGUUUUCCUUAUGUAUCAAAGUUGAAUAAGUUUCCUUAUUCAUCAAAGUUGAAAAUAGUGUAUGUUUGGCAGACAAACUCUCAAAUUUGUCCAAACUACAUUUUUCUUUUGGACCCCAUGUAAAAUUUGGAGAAAUAAAACCUUGGAGAAAUAAAAACCCACAUGUCAAUACAUCUUCCAUCAUAGAUUGAUAUUUGCAAUGUGAUCUUUGAUGUAAUUUUUAUAUUGAUUCUUUCGUCUUUAGAAAAUGUUCAGAAGUGUAAUGGUAAUGGAAAAACUAACUUGCUGGAAAACUCUUGAUAAAAGGGAUGUUCCCCUAAAAUACUCACAGAAAUGUUUUGUAAACAUUUAAGAUGUGAGUUUCAGUGUUAAAACUGAGUUCAGUGCACUGAAUUUAGCGUUUCCUGAUGUUGAGAGGGAACCUCCCGUGUUACAGCUUGUUUUCCUUGUCUCUGAUGUCAUGUCACUGGGCACCAUGGAAAGGACCAUGGCUCCAUCUUCUUUGUUCACUCACUUCUGGUUAUUUAUACAUAUUGAUAAGAUCUUUCAGAGCCUUCUCUUCUCCAAGUGGAACCAUGUCAGGUCUCUCAGCAUUUCCUCACAGGGGAGGAGUUCCAGUCCUUUAUUCAUUUUAGAGGCCCUUUGUUGGAAUCUGCAGUAUACCCAGGGCUAUCACAAUGAAGAGCCCAGAACUGGAUAUAGUGCUCCAAGUGUGGUUAAUAGUGCCACAAGCAACAUUUAAAAAGGAACUGCAAUUGAGGAAUAUUUUGGGGGGCUACUUAAAAAAAUGCAAUUAUAUUUACAUUUCGGGAUGACUUCAGAGUGAAGGAGAGAACUGUUCUCAAGGUCAAUGCAGGUUAAACGUUCUGUGAAAGAAAUGUUAUGAUGUUAUGUUAUGUUAUGUUAUGUUAUGUUAUGGCCCUUUUAAUGGACAGCCUUGCUGAAGGUGUUGUUUUCUUCCUCUGCUCUUGUGUGACUUAUUUUAUCUCCCUACCUGCAGAUAUUGCAGCUCAGCAGGAGCUCAAAGGCAGAUGGAAACUACCAGUGUGCACUGUACUUGAACUUCUUAAAUAAAGGACAAUAUCUCCCUCAAACUUAGACUAGCACAGAGCAAAAUUUGUAACUAUGCAAGAGAGGAAAGAACUAGUGAUUUAAAUCAAUCUGACUUUCCUAAAUUCUUUGUUCUUCUGAAAAUCUAUAAGAAAAUAUACUUUCUUCUGGAUUUUACCUUAAAGAGGUUAUAUUAAUUUUACAUAAUGAUAGCCACAACACAAGUAAUUACAACUUUUCUAAACUGUUAGUCCUUUCUAGGAUAUUUUUUUGAGAUUUUUGUUCUCAUAUGUGGAAUGUAAUUUCUGUAAAGGUAAGAUACUCAAGGCUUGGCAAAAUUUAUUUACCAAUUAUUUCUAGUGCAGUUACUCUAGCUUUUUUCCAUUAGUUUAGAGAUGGUUUCUGCUUUAGGAAAUAUUCAGCUCAAGGAUGUAUUUCUUUUGUCAGGUCACCCAACAGAUCACUAUUCCAGCUGUCAGCUUCAUUCUUUCCUUCAGAAUAAUAUUACCAUUCAUAUUCCAUCUUGUAUGAUAGAUACAUUUAAUUACUAGACAAUCUGCAGUGUCCUUACUCCUGGCUACAACUAUUUUCCAAGCAAUUCCUUCAUAUAUUUGAGACAAUUAAAGGUGACAGUUCUGUACUGUUCAAAGAAAUGGAAAUGUAUCCCUUCAAAGGGUAGCUACAUGAAUAAAAACCCUCCAAAUCACUAGCAAGCAAGCCUAAUGGUUUCAACUAAUUCUAAUAAAUGAGCCUAGUCUCA